CUUGAUUUGGAUACAUAAAGUGGUGGAGAAUCACCAGGAAGUUGAAUAAAUCUCAUAGGAGUUGGCAUGAAGAAGUUAUCCCACUUUCAAAUCAGGUGAUUCCAGUUUCCCAGUUUGGGAAUAGGACAGCUUCUUCGUCGUUCCAAUCAAACAAGGAUGAAUCUCCAUGUAAGAAGCUUGAUUUGGAUACAUAAAGAGGUGGGGAAUCACCAGGAAGUUGAAUAAAUCUCAUAGGAGUUGGCAUGAAGAAGUUAUCCCACUUUCAAAUCAGGUGAUUCCAGUUUUCCAGUUUGGGACUAGCACAGCUUCUUCGUCGUUCCAAUCAAACCAGGAUGAAUCACUUUGUAAGUGUUGAAAUGAGCUGAGUAUAAUGUGUGAGAAGGCACAAGGAGUUGAGAGACUGAAAGGGAAAGAAGGUAUGAGUCUUUGGGAG
rnacentral:lncRNA from 1 species